rnacentral:rRNA from 1 species
AUUGAACGCUGGCGGCAGGCCUAACACAUGCAAGUCGAACGAGCGGCGGACGGUUGAGUAAUGUAUGGGAAACUGCCUGAUGGAGGGGGAUAACUACUGGAAACGGUAGCUAAUACCGCAUACCAUCGGAUGUGCCCAGAUGGGAUUAGCUAGUGGGUGGGGUAAAGGCUCACCUAGGCGACGAUCCCUAGCUGGUCUGAGAGGAUGAUCAGCCAAACUGGAACUGAGACACGGUCCAGACUCCUACGGGAGGCAGCAGUGGGGAAUAUUGCACAAUGGGCUGAAGCCUGAUGCAGCCAUGCCGCGUGUAUGAAGAAGGCCUUCGGGUUGUAAAGUACUUUCAGCGGGGAGGCGUUACCCGCAGAAGAAGCACCGGCUAACUCCGUGCCAGCAGCCGCGGUAAUUC